rnacentral:snRNA from 1 species
AGCUUUGUGCAGUGGCAGUAUUAUAGCCAAUCAGGUUUACCUGAGGCGCGAUUAUUGCUAAUGCGGAGCUUGCAGUGAGCUGAGAUCCGGCCACUGCUCUCCAGCCUGGGUGACAGAGCGAGACUCCGUCUCAAAAAAAAAGAAAAGAAAACUUUUCCCAGUACCCUGCUAUGACAACUUGCAAUAUAGUCAGCACUGGCGACAUUUGACUAUCUCCAUGAAGA